GAGUUUGAUGUUCUUGGAUUGGCGACCCAGGCUGUCACAUGGCAGCUGUCACAAAAUUUCAAUGUCAAGCUGACGAACAAUUUAUACUUAAGUUAACAAAGAACGGAAUAAAUUAACAUAAUAGGCCCAAAACAAACUAGAAAUAUGGUUAGAGGAUUGUUCAGUUUUAUCGUGGGACUUUAUGCAGGAGUUUACCUUAGCCAAAACUAUGAUAUUCCGCGAGUGGACGACCCUCAGGCUUUAUUUGAAAAGAUUAAAGACUUUGCCGAUAAACAUAGGAAGCAAUAGAUUAAUCGUUUAGUAGCUGUGUGUGAUUUAUUUAAAUAAAAUUAUGCUAUUACAUUAUAA